rnacentral:lncRNA from 1 species
UGCUGAAGGAAUUGAUUGCGCUCAACUUAUCGAAUAACGCCUUCACGGGCCAUAUUCCUCCGUCUUUGGCAAAUGUUACAGAGCUCGAGUCACUAGACCUGUCAAGAAACAAACUGUCAGGGAAUAUUCCUAGAGGACUCGGGAGCCUCUCAUUUCUGGCUUACAUAAGUGUGGCUCAUAACCAACUCAAAGGUGAAAUACCAGAAGGACCACAGUUUAGUGGGCAAGCUGAAUCAUCAUUUGAAGGGAAUGCAGGUCUAUGUGGUCUUCCUCUCCAAGGAAGUUGCCUUGAGCCACCAACACAACAGCCUAAGGAAGAAGACGAAGAAGAAGAGGAAGAAAUAUUAAACUGGAAGGCAGUGGUUAUAGGGUAUUGGCCUGGACUGUUGUUUGGAUUAGUAAUAGCACACGCUAUCGCUUCAUACAAGCCGAAGUGGUUUGGCAAGAUAGUUAGUACAGAUAAGGGCAAGGAAGUAGAUCCAGUUAGAUUGUUUAUGACUCUGGAUUCAAGAUGGGACAGUUUUAAUGAUAAGGAUAGUGUAGAACAGGAAACUGAUAUGAAAAAAUAGUAUGUAAAUAUGUUGUUACCUGAUGUAAGAAAGAAUAUUUACUAGUUUCUGUAACUUUUGGUUCCCUUUAUUAAGAUCUCUCUUUUGGCUGAUAAUGUCCUUAUGAUAAACUGCUUUGGUUCUUCUCUGAUUCUUAAAUUAACUCAAGCCGAUGUUUCUCAAAUGCACGAAGGUCAUCAGCUUCCUGGUAAGACAAACUGGAUCAAGUGAACAUAAGAGAGUCAGGCCUAUAAGAAGAUUUUACAGGUCUCCAGAUUUCAAUCUCAGACAACACACUCACAAGAUCGCUUAUUUAAAAUAUAAAUUCUACCACUCAUCACUGAUUCAAAUCAGUUUUUAACGUGAAUAAACAAAUCAUAUACCAUAAGCGGACUUGCCAAAUAUAGACAAAGUGCUUACUCUUCAAAGUUUGAACUAAUAUUCUCAGACGACAGAGAGAGAAAGUAAGCACAAUUUAAACAUUAUUUACAGUAAACUUUUUUGAGUAGUGGAAGAUAUAAAGUGGCGAGUACUCACAAAUCUAUCAAGAAUAAACAACCAACGUUGUUAGUCACCAGCCAACUAGACCAUCGUCGUCAACUUUGCCACAUCCUUUAGCGAAUCCUUGACUGAAACUUGGCGUUUGUUGAUCUGUGAUGCUCUGCAUCAAACGCUGCAAAAAUUGCAGACUCUGCUGGUCCUUGUGCUGAAACCUCCAUCCAUGGUCUGCCUUGUUUCUGUAGCUGCUGGACUGGUAAAGAGAAACUUCAGGAGUCUACACAUAAGGAUAUAAUUUGACAAUGUCUCCUCAACAGUUCACAAACAAAUCAACAAUGUAACGCUCUAGACCUACCAAAACCUUUAAAAAUUUAGACCAAGUCUUUGUCCAAUCAAGAAACAAAUUAAUGCCAUUUUAUUUGUAAGGGCCUCAUUCACUCUUAAAUGUAAAACUACUAUGCAUAUUGUUUCUGCUAAUAUUUUUUGCUUUUGUAAUUGUAGUGUGCUUGAAACCCGAAAAAAAUUGAAAUCAAAAAGUAACAUUGCAAAAUCCAUAAAGAUACCAUUGAGAGAGAGAGGUAAAACCCAAAAAGAUCAAAUCCUAAGAGUUGCUAUAAACCCCUAAAUCCUAGAAUCAAAAAUUUCAAUAGAUUAAUCUCAUUUGGUGAUUGUGUCAUCAUUGCUUAUGCAAUCACAAGAAGAAAAUUAAAAGAAAGCAGAAACGAAAAAUCACCUGGUAGCUCCUUGAUUUAGGAAGCCUCCACCAAAACGUCGACGAGAGUGACGGCUGAUCACAAUCGCAUUUGCUCCGCCGCCGCAGCCUCAUAAAAAAAAAAAUCUCCUUGUCGAUUUGUUUCAUUAGAAGACGACUUUACCGAUAUAUAAAAAUUCGGUUCAUUAACUUAUGUAAUGCCGGUUUGAAUGUAAUUUUGUUCUAAAUGUUUUGAUUCUUCCUUUGAUUAUGUCACACAAACAGAGA